rnacentral:rRNA from 1 species
UACGUAGGGUGCGAGCGUUGUCCGGAAUUAUUGGGCGUAAAGAGCGUGUAGGCGGCUAGGUAGGUGGGUUGUGAAAACUGGAGGCUCAACCUUCAGACGUCGACCCAAACCCCCUGGCUAGAGUCCGGAAGAGGAGAGUGGAAUUCCUGGUGUAGCGGUGUAAUGCGCAGAUAUCAGGAAGAACACCCGUGGCGAAGGCGGCUCUCUGGGACGGUACUGACGCUGAGACGCGAAAGCGUGGGGAGCGAACAGG